rfam:Camelus ferus unplaced genomic scaffold scaffold344, whole genome shotgun sequence.
GAGAGUAUAGCUCAAGUGGUAGAGCAUGUACUUAGCAUGCACAAGGUCCUGAGUUCAAUCCCUAGUACCUCCA